GACAUCAUGGCUCAGAUGGUAAAGCGUCUGCUUGCAAUGCAGGAGACCUGGGUUUGAUUCCUGGGUCG
rnacentral:tRNA from 1 species